rnacentral:rRNA from 1 species
GGUUAAGCGACUAAGCGUACACGGUGGAUGCCCUGGCAGUCAGAGGCGAUGAAGGACGUGCUAAUCUGCGAUAAGCGUCGGUAAGGUGAUAUGAACCGUUAUAACCGGCGAUUUCCGAAUGGGGAAACCCAGUGUGAUUCGUCACACUAUCAUUAACUGAAUCCAUAGGUUAAUGAGGCGAACCGGGGGAACUGAAACAUCUAAGUACCCCGAGGAAAAGAAAUCAACCGAGAUUCCCCCAGUAGCGGCGAGCGAACGGGGAGGAGCCCAGAGCCUGAAUCAGUGUGUGUGUUAGUGGAAGCGUCUGGAAAGGCGCGCGAUACAGGGUGACAGCCCCGUACACAAAAAUGCACAUGCUGUGAGCUCGAUGAGUAGGGCGGGACACGUGGUAUCCUGUCUGAAUAUGGGGGGACCAUCCUCCAAGGCUAAAUACUCCUGACUGACCGAUAGUGAACCAGUACCGUGAGGGAAAGGCGAAAAGAACCCCGGCGAGGGGAGUGAAAAAGAACCUGAAACCGUGUACGUACAAGCAGUGGGAGCACAGAGCAAUCUGUGUGACUGCGUACCUUUUGUAUAAUGGGUCAGCGACUUAUAUUCUGUAGCAAGGUUAACCGAAUAGGGGAGCCGAAGGGAAACCGAGUCUUAACUGGGCGUUAAGUUGCAGGGUAUAGACCCGAAACCCGGUGAUCUAGCCAUGGGCAGGUUGAAGGUUGGGUAACACUAACUGGAGGACCGAACCGACUAAUGUUGAAAAAUUAGCGGAUGACUUGUGGCUGGGGGUGAAAGGCCAAUCAAACCGGGAGAUAGCUGGUUCUCCCCGAAAGCUAUUUAGGUAGCGCCUCGUGAAUUCAUCUCCGGGGGUAGAGCACUGUUUCGGCAAGGGGGUCAUCCCGACUUACCAACCCGAUGCAAACUGCGAAUACCGGAGAAUGUUAUCACGGGAGACACACGGCGGGUGCUAACGUCCGUCGUGAAGAGGGAAACAACCCAGACCGCCAGCUAAGGUCCCAAAGUCAUGGUUAAGUGGGAAACGAUGUGGGAAGGCCCAGACAGCCAGGAUGUUGGCUUAGAAGCAGCCAUCAUUUAAAGAAAGCGUAAUAGCUCACUGGUCGAGUCGGCCUGCGCGGAAGAUGUAACGGGGCUAAACCAUGCACCGAAGCUGCGGCAGCGACGCUGAUGCGUUGUUGGGUAGGGGAGCGUUCUGUAAGCCUGCGAAGGUGUGCUGUGAGGCAUGCUGGAGGUAUCAGAAGUGCGAAUGCUGACAUAAGUAACGAUAAAGCGGGUGAAAAGCCCGCUCGCCGGAAGACCAAGGGUUCCUGUCCAACGUUAAUCGGGGCAGGGUGAGUCGACCCCUAAGGCGAGGCCGAAAGGCGUAGUCGAUGGGAAACAGGUUAAUAUUCCUGUACUUGGUGUUACUGCGAAGGGGGGACGGAGAAGGCUAUGUUGGCCGGGCGACGGUUGUCCCGGUUUAAGCGUGUAGGCUGGUUUUCCAGGCAAAUCCGGAAAAUCAAGGCUGAGGCGUGAUGACGAGGCACUACGGUGCUGAAGCAACAAAUGCCCUGCUUCCAGGAAAAGCCUCUAAGCAUCAGGUAACAUCAAAUCGUACCCCAAACCGACACAGGUGGUCAGGUAGAGAAUACCAAGGCGCUUGAGAGAACUCGGGUGAAGGAACUAGGCAAAAUGGUGCCGUAACUUCGGGAGAAGGCACGCUGAUAUGUAGGUGAAGUCCCUCGCGGAUGGAGCUGAAAUCAGUCGAAGAUACCAGCUGGCUGCAACUGUUUAUUAAAAACACAGCACUGUGCAAACACGAAAGUGGACGUAUACGGUGUGACGCCUGCCCGGUGCCGGAAGGUUAAUUGAUGGGGUUAGCGCAAGCGAAGCUCUUGAUCGAAGCCCCGGUAAACGGCGGCCGUAACUAUAACGGUCCUAAGGUAGCGAAAUUCCUUGUCGGGUAAGUUCCGACCUGCACGAAUGGCGUAAUGAUGGCCAGGCUGUCUCCACCCGAGACUCAGUGAAAUUGAACUCGCUGUGAAGAUGCAGUGUACCCGCGGCAAGACGGAAAGACCCCGUGAACCUUUACUAUAGCUUGACACUGAACAUUGAGCCUUGAUGUGUAGGAUAGGUGGGAGGCUUUGAAGUGUGGACGCCAGUCUGCAUGGAGCCGACCUUGAAAUACCACCCUUUAAUGUUUGAUGUUCUAACGUGGACCCGUAAUCCGGGUUGCGGACAGUGUCUGGUGGGUAGUUUGACUGGGGCGGUCUCCUCCUAAAGAGUAACGGAGGAGCACGAAGGUUGGCUAAUCCUGGUCGGACAUCAGGAGGUUAGUGCAAUGGCAUAAGCCAGCUUGACUGCGAGCGUGACGGCGCGAGCAGGUGCGAAAGCAGGUCAUAGUGAUCCGGUGGUUCUGAAUGGAAGGGCCAUCGCUCAACGGAUAAAAGGUACUCCGGGGAUAACAGGCUGAUACCGCCCAAGAGUUCAUAUCGACGGCGGUGUUUGGCACCUCGAUGUCGGCUCAUCACAUCCUGGGGCUGAAGUAGGUCCCAAGGGUAUGGCUGUUCGCCAUUUAAAGUGGUACGCGAGCUGGGUUUAGAACGUCGUGAGACAGUUCGGUCCCUAUCUGCCGUGGGCGCUGGAGAACUGAGGGGGGCUGCUCCUAGUACGAGAGGACCGGAGUGGACGCAUCACUGGUGUUCGGGUUGUCAUGCCAAUGGCACUGCCCGGUAGCUAAAUGCGGAAGAGAUAAGUGCUGAAAGCAUCUAAGCACGAAACUUGCCCCGAGAUGAGUUCUCCCUGACUCCUUGAGAGUCCUGAAGGAACGUUGAAGACGACGACGUUGAUAGGCCGGGUGUGUAAGCGCAGCGAUGCGUUGAGCUAACCGGUACUAAUGAACCGUGAGGCUUAACCUU